AUUGAACGCUGGCGGCAUGCUUUACACAUGCAAGUCGAACGGCAGCGCGGGCUUCUGCCUGGCGGCGCGUGGCGAACGGGUGAGUGAUGCAUCGGAACGUCCCCCGUAGUGGGGGAUAGCCCCUCGAAAGCCGGAUUACUACCACCUACUACCUGAUCGUGCAAGCGGGGGGCCGAAGGACCUUGCCCUAUUGGGGCGGCCGAGGUCGGAUUAUCCAGUUGGUGGGGUAAAGGCUUACCAAGACGAACAUCCGUAGCUGGUCUGAGAGGACGACCGGCCACCCUGGGACUGAGACACGGCCCGUGGUCCUGAGGGAGGCAGCAGUGGGGAAUUUUGGACAGUGGGGGCAACACUGAUCCAACGAUGCCGAGUGCGGGAAAAAGACGUGCGGGUUGUAAAGCGGUUUUGUGCGGGAAGAAAUCCUCUGGGCUAAUACCCCGGGGGGAUGACGGUACCGGAAGAAGAAGCACCGGCUAACUACGUG
rnacentral:rRNA from 1 species